rnacentral:rRNA from 1 species
CCCAUGGAGCUUUAAGCUAGCUUCACAUCUAUCUUGUAUGCCCUCUAAUUAAAAGAACACUGCCUGCUCAGCUUUAGGUUGGGGUGACCGCGGAAUAUAACACAACUUCCACGAUGUAUAACGAUUUUCUUAUCUAAGAACUACUAUUCUAAGAAUUAGUAUUCUAACAUACAAUGAUCCGAUAAUCGAUCAACGGACUAAGUUACCCUGGGGAUAACAGCGCAAUCCAUUUCAAGAGCCCCUAUCGA